rnacentral:rRNA from 1 species
AUUGAACGCUGGCGGCAGGCCUAACACAUGCAAGUCGAGCGGAGCGGCGGACGGGUGAGUAAUGCCUAGGACUCUGACUGGUAGUGGUGGAUAACGUCCGAAAAAGGGAGCUAAUACUGCAUACUAUCAGAUGAGCCUAGGUCGGAUUAGCUAGUUGGUGGGGUAAAGGCCUACCAAGGCGACGGUCCGUAACUGGUCUGAGAGGAUGAGCAGUCACACGGGAACUGAGACACGGUCCAGACUCCUACGGGAGGCAGCAGUGGGGAAUAUGUGACAAUGGGCGAAAGCCUGAUCCAGCCAUGCCGCGUGUGUGAAGAAGGUCUUCGGAUUGUAAAGCACUUUAAGUUGGGAGGCGUUACCAACAGAAUAAGCACCGGCUAACUUCGUGCCAGCAGCCGCGGUAAUAC